rnacentral:rRNA from 1 species
CGUGCGACCGUGUACUUUUUGUAGAACGGUCCGGCGAGUUGCCGUUGCUGGCAGGUUAAGUACUUAAGGUACGGAGCCGAAGGGAAACCAAGUCUUAAUAGGGCGGUAAGUCAGUAACGGCAGACCCGAAACCGGGUGACCUACCCAUGGCCAGGAUGAAGUCUGCGUAAAAGUGGAUGGAGGUCCGAACACACGUCUGUUGAAAAAGGCGGUGAUGAGCUGUGGGUAGCGGAGAAAUUCCAAUCGAACUCGGAGAUAGCUGGUUCUCCCCGAAAUAGCUUUAGGGCUAGCCUUGAAAUUUAGAGAUGUGGAGGUAGAGCACUGAAUGUCCUAGGGGGUAUUGCACUUACCGAAGACUAUCAAACUCCGAAUGCCAUUAUCUUUUGUUCAGGAGUCAGACUAUGGGUGAUAAGGUUCAUAGUCGAAAGGGAAAGAGCCCAGACCGUCAGCUAAGGUCCCUAAAUGUAUGUUAAGUGGUAAAGGAUGUGGGAUUGCACAGACAACCAGGAUGUUGGCUUAGAAGCAGCCACUCAUUUAAAGAGUGCGUAAUAGCUCACUGGUCGAGUGAUCCUGCGCCGAAGAUUUCCGGGGCUAAAACAUACUACCGAAGCUACGGCAUCAUAUGAUGAUGGGUAGGGGAGCUUCCCAUGCAGGCUGAAGCGAUACCGUAAGGAGUCGUGGACAGUAUGGGAGAGAGAAUGUUGGCAUGAGUAGCGAGAUGAGGGUGAGAAUCCCUCAGGCCGUAAACCCAAGGUUUCCAGGGGAAGGUUCGUCCUCCCUGGGUUAGUCGGGACCUAAGCUCAGGCCGAAAGGCGUAGGCGAUGGACAACAGGUUGAGAUUCCUGUACUACCGAUAAUCGUUUGAGAGAAGGGAUGACACAGUAGGAUAAGCUGAGCACACUGUUGGUUAUGUGUGUCUAAGCGUUGAGGCAGACUAGAUAGGCAAAUCCGUUUAGUUAAUGCUGGGGCGCGAUGGGGAGCGAAACUAAGUAGCGAAGCAGCUGAUUUCACACUGUCGAGAAAAGUCUCUAUCGAGAUUAAAGGUACCCGUACCGCAAACCGACACAGGUGGGUGAGGAGAGUAUCCUAAGGCCAGCGAGAGAACUGUUGUUAAGGAACUCGGCAAAAUGACCCCGUAACUUAGGGAUAAGGGGUGCCCCAGCAAUGGGGCCGCAGAGAAUUGGCCCAAGCGACUGUUUACCAAAAACAUAGGUUUCUGCUAAGUCGCAAGACGAUGUAUAGGAGCUGACGCCUGCCCGGUGCUGGAAGGUUAAGGGGAUCUGUUAGAGCAAUCGAAGCAGUGAUCUUAAGCCCCAGUAAACGGCGGCCGUAACUAUAACGGUCCUAAGGUAGCGAAAUUCCUUGUCGGGUAAGUUCCGACCCGCACGAAAGGCGUAACGAUUUGGGCACUGUCUCAACAACAGACUCGGUGAAAUUGUAAUCCCGGUGAAGAUGCCGGGUACCUGCGACAGGACGGAAAGACCCCAUGGAGCUUUACUGUAGCUUGACAUUGGGUUUCGAUACUACAUGUACAGGAUAGGUGGGAGACUAUGAAAUCAGGGCGUCAGUUUUGAUGGAGUCAUCCUUGGGAUACCACCCUUGUAGUAUUGGGACUCUAACCAUAGGCCAUGAAUCUGGUCUUGGGACACUGUCUGGUGGGCAGUUUGACUGGGGCGGUCGCCUCCCAAAAGGUAACGGAGGCGCUCAAAGGUUCCCUCAGUACGGUCGGAAAUCGUACGAAGAGUGUAAAGGCAAAAGGGAGCUUGAUUGCAAGACAUACAGGUCGAGCAAGGUAGAAAUACGGACUUAGUGAUCCGGUGGUUCUGAGUGGAAGGGCCAUCGCUCAACGGAUAAAAGCUACCCUGGGGAUAACAGGCUUAUCUCCCCCAAGAGUCCACAUCGACGGGGAGGUUUGGCACCUCGAUGUCGGCUCAUCACAUCCUGGGGCUGUAGUAGGUCCCAAGGGUUGGGCUGUUCGCCCAUUAAAGUGGUACGCGAGCUGGGUUCAGAACGUCGUGAGACAGUUCGGUCCCUAUCCGUCGCAGGCGUAGGAAAUUUGAGAAGAUCUGUCCUUAGUACGAGAGGACCGGGAUGGACAUACCUCUGGUGUACCAGUUGUUCUGCCAAGGGCAUGGCUGGGUAGCUAUGUAUGGAAGGGAUAAGCGCUGAAAGCAUCUAAGCGCGAAGCCAACUUCAAGAUAAGAUUUCCCACCGCAAGGUUAAGAUCCCAGGAAGACUACCUGGUUGA